UGGGGAAUAUUGCACAAUGGGCGAAAGCCUGAUGCAGCAACGCCGCGUGAGUGAUGAAGGGCCUUCGGGUUGUAAAGCUCUGUCUUUUUGGGAGCGAUAAUGACCGGUACCAAAGGAGGAAGCCACGGCUAACUACGUGCCAGCAGCCGCGGUAAUACGUAGGUGGCAAGCGUUGUCCGGAUUUACUGGGCGUAAAGGAUGCGUAGGCGGAUUUUUAAGUGAGAUGUGAAAUACCCGGGCUUAACUUGGGUGCUGCAUUUCAAACUGGGAAUCUAGAGUGCGGGAGAGGAGAAUGGAAUUCCUAGUGUAGCGGUGAAAUGCGUAGAGAUUAGGAAGAACACCAGUGGCGAAGGCGAUUCUCUGGACCGUAACUGACGCUGAGGCAUGAAAGCGUGGGUAGCAAAACAGGAUUAGAUACCCUGGUAGUCCACGCCGUAAACGAUGAGUAACUAGGUGUAGGAGGUAUCGACCCCUUCUGUGCCGCAGUUAACACAAUAAGUACU
rnacentral:rRNA from 1 species